rnacentral:rRNA from 1 species
UACGUAGGGUGCAAGCGUUGUCCGGAAUUAUUGGGCGUAAAGAGCUCGUAGGCGGUCUGUCGCGUCUGCUGUGAAAACUCAGGGCUUAACCCUGAGCUUGCAGUGGGUACGGGCAGACUAGAGUGCGGUAGGGGAGACUGGAAUUCCUGGUGUAGCGGUGAAAUGCGCAGAUAUCAGGAGGAACACCGGUGGCGAAGGCGGGUCUCUGGGCCGUAACUGACGCUGGAGGAAGCGAAAGCAUGGGGAGCGAACAGG